CGAAUGCAUGUCUACCACAUGGUCAACCAUACCAUUGAACUGACGCAUACUCUCCAGGAACAAGGCGGCUGCGCGAAGCGAUAUGCGCGUGAGCCUAAUAUCAAAGAGGCCGACAUCGUGGAACUCUGGAAUUCUUCAGUGAAUACACUUAUUAAUUAAGCAGGGCCACUUUAUCCAAGCAGUGUUACUGGAGUGGAACCAGUGAUAAAAGAUAUUAGAAUAUGGCAACUGGAAAUAUUCCUAGACAUGUGGUUUUAACAGGAUUACCAGGUACAGGCAAGACAACUCUAAUUCAAAAAGCGUGUGAUGUUCUUCAGAAGAAAGGUGUGACUGCACAAGGAUUUUAUACUGAGGAAGUACGGCAACAUGGCAAACGAUUUGGCUUUGAUGUGAUCACUUUGGAUGGAACAAGAGAUGCUCUGGCACGAGUCGGAGAACCGCUUGAAAAUGAUAGAAGAAGGCAUCGUGUUGGACAGUAUACCGUAAAUCUUCAAUCAUUUGAACGGAUUGCUCUUCCAGCGUUAAAGAAAAAGUCUAACGUCUCAUGCGUAUUUGUGAUUGAUGAAAUUGGAAAGAUGGAAAUGUUUAGUGAGAGCUUUGUUCGUGAAGUUCGGGAUUUGCUGAACAACCCAAGGACCACAGUGCUAACAUCAAUUCCUGUGGCGAGAGGAAAACACAUACCAUUUGUGGAGGAGAUACGUCAUAGAAAAGACGUCGUACUUUACCAGAUAACGAAGGCGAACAGGGAGCAGUUACUGGAAGAAAUUGUACAAUCAAUACUACAAUCUCAUGAACACUAUCAUGUAAGAAGUGCUUGAAUUCCUGCGUGUAACCAGUCUUGAAAGACAUUAUUAUAUAGCAAAAUCUCUUUAUUUCAAUGAACCUCGAAAGAAUUGAGAAUAAAAGCCAUUCUAAACCACAAUUGGGUGAUGCUCUCUACGACCAAAGUCCACUCUGUUGAGCUAUGGUACUUUUUUGAGAUACUUCAUGUCCGGAAGUAGGUUGGCCUUCUUACAAAGAGAAAGCUUAAUACCUUACAACGUUGGGUAUUCUCGUGCAGUGUAA